GGCGAGUUGGUAGAGUGGACGAUUGCUCUAGUUUAGAAAACUAGCGAGUCAGAAAUGGCUCCGUGGGUUCGAAUCCCACACUCGCCU
rnacentral:tRNA from 1 species